rnacentral:rRNA from 1 species
GAGUUUGAUCUUGACUCAGGAUGAACGCUGGCGGCGUGCCUAAUACAUGCAAGUCGAGCGAACGGACGAGAAGCUUGCUUCUCUGAUGUUAGCGGCGGACGGGUGAGUAACACGUGGGUAACCUACCUAUAAGACUGGGAUAACUCCGGGAAACCGGGGCUAAUACCGGAUAACACAUGAAACCGCAUGGUUUCAUGAUGAAAGACGGUCUUGCUGUCACUUAUAGAUGGAUCCGCGCUGCAUUAGCUAGUUGGUAGGUAACGGCUUACCAAGGCAACGAUGCAUAGCCGACCUGAGAGGGUGAUCGGCCACACUGGAACUGAGACACGGUCCAGACUCCUACGGGAGGCAGCAGUAGGGAAUCUUCCGCAAUGGGCGAAAGCCUGACGAGCAACGCCGCGUGAGUGGUGAAGGUCUUCGGAUCGUAAAACUCUGUUAUUAGGGAAGACAUAUGUGUAAGUAACUGUGCACAUCUUGACGGUACUAA